GGACGAACUGUGGAUUCGGACAGUCCGGAGUGGGCAGACGAGCGUUCAGCGGACAAGCGGGAACACAGACGACCCCCCCGCCUCUGCAGUGGCAGUAGGUGUCACAGGACGGCUUGAAGGACUGGCCAUCGUGGAUAAAGCAACAGCAGGUGCAAGAAAUAAUGUAAUCUAAUCUGACUCAGCUGAGAUAAACGUUGCUGUCCUUGGCUCCACCAGAACAGAUCCACGUCUACAGGAAGUCAAAGGCAGCUGUGUGGGGAGGAUGACACUUGCUGCUCGACCUCCACAUUCCUGCUUCCACCCAACCUUGACCUACAUGUGUGCGUGUCUGUCGUCUGUCUUGUUUGGGCUUGACUGAAACAAAUUUCAAUAUUGGGUAAAUUUUUAUUUUGUGAGAUUAAUAAACUUCUAUUCUAUUUAAACUCAAACUCAUGUAUGGGUAGGGGGCAUUUCCUUAUCAGACCCAAACUGUCUCAUCACAAACCAACAAGUAAAGUUGCUUCAUCUGCCAUUAAAGAGCCACUCCAAAGAAAAUCAUGUUUUUGGUGAUUUCAACAUUUUCUUUUGGCAUUUUUCUGAUGAUGGAGGACACAUAUAAAGAAAUUUAAACCUAAUAUGUACUUUAUAUUUAAAAUAUGUUGGAAUAUAAGGGGCUACAAGCUAGUAGGAGAGAGUGAAAACAAAGGGAUGAUGGGAAGUCAGAGCAGGCUUACUUUGUGCCAAUAGUCCCGCCCACAACUCUGAGGGGAAUUUCUAGAGAGCAUUUGAGAAACUACAUACUAGAAAAUGACACAGAUUUUUUGAGUUUGGAUAAAAAUGGUAUAAACAUAAUUAAAAGACCACUGGGAAUGUUUUACAAUAGAUCAAAAAUGAUCAGAAUAGGACUUUAAAGCCUUUUUGUCCAAUUGCAGUUAUCUGUUUGAGUCUGGAUUUUGAGGUUGGCACAGAUGUUUAUAGUGGGCAAGGGGUAAGCUGGGAAAAAGGCAUGUGUGUGAGAAAUUUACAAUUCAAUUAGUAUUUAACCAAACAUUUUCAGGUCAAUUGAAUAAGAUUGUUGUUGAGUUGCAUCAAGUUGUAAAUACAAACACAAUUUUCCAGAUAAAAAGAAAAUGAUGUCAGAGCAAUGAUGGUGAAGAGCUGGAGAAGUAAAGUGGUAAAAAAAAAAAAAAAAAAGUUUUAAUAUAUUUUAU